GAUGAACGCUGGCGGCGUGCUUAACACAUGCAAGUCGAACGGAAAGGCCCAAGCUUGCUUGGGUACUCGAGUGGCGAACGGGUGAGUAACACGUGGGUGAUCUGCCCUGCACUUCGGGAUAAGCCCGGGAAACUGGGUCUAAUACCGGAUAGGACGAUGGUUUGGAUGCCAUUGUGGAAAGUUUUUUCGGUGUGGGAUGAGCUCGCGGCCUAUCAGCUUGUUGGUGGGGUAAUGGCCUACCAAGGCGUCGACGGGUAGCCGGCCUGAGAGGGUGUACGGCCACAUUGGGACUGAGAUACGGCCCAGACUCCUACGGGAGGCAGCAGUGGGGAAUAUGGCACAAUGGGCGCAAGCCUGAUGCAGCGACGCCGCGUGGGGGAUGACGGCCUUCGGGUUGUAAACUCCUUUCGCUAGGGACGAAGCGUUUUUGUGACGGUACCUGGAGAAGAAGCACCGGCUAACUACGUG
rnacentral:rRNA from 1 species